GACGAACCCUUGCGGCGUGCUUAACACAUGCAAGUCGAACGGAAAGGCCCUGCUUUUGUGGGGUGCUCGAGUGGCGAACGGGUGAGUAACACGUGAGUAACCUGCCCUUGACUUUGGGAUAACUUCAGGAAACUGGGGCUAAUACCGGAUAGGAGCUCCUGCUGCAUGGUGGGGGUUGGAAAGUUUCGGCGGUUGGGGAUGGACUCGCGGCUUAUCAGCUUGUUGGUGGGGUAGUGGCUUACCAAGGCUUUGACGGGUAGCCGGCCUGAGAGGGUGACCGGCCACAUUGGGACUGAGAUACGGCCCAGACUCCUACGGGAGGCAGCAGUGGGGAAUAUUGCACAAUGGGCGGAAGCCUGAUGCAGCAACGCCGCGUGCGGGAUGACGGCCUUCGGGUUGUAAACCGCUUUCGCCUGUGACGAAGCGUGAGUGACGGUAAUGGGUAAAGAAGCACCGGCUAACUACGUGCCAGCAGCCGCGGUGAUACGUAGGGUGCGAGCGUUGUCCGGAUUUAUUGGGCGUAAAGGGCUCGUAGGUGGUUGAUCGCGUCGGAAGUGUAAUCUUGGGGCUUAACCCUGAGCGUGCUUUCGAUACGGGUUGACUUGGGGAAGGUAGGGGAGAAUGGAAUUCCUGGUGGAGCGGUGGAAUGCGCAGAUAUCAGGAGGAACACCAGUGGCGAAGGCGGUUCUCUGGGCCUUUCCUGACGCUGAGGUGCGAAAGCGUGGGGAGCGAACAGGCUUAGAUACCCUGGUAGUCCACGCUGUAAACGGUGGGUACUAGGUGUGGGGUCCAUUCCACGGGUUCCGUGCCGUAGCUAACGCUUUAAGUACCCCGCCUGGGGAGUACGGCCGCAAGGCUAAAACUCAAAGGAAUUGACGGGGCCCCGCACAAGCGGCGGAGCAUGCGGAUUAAUUCGAUGCAACGCGUAGAACCUUACCUGGGUUUGACAUGGAUCGGGAGUGCUCAGAGAUGGGUGUGCCUCUUUUGGGGUCGGUUCACAGGUGGUGCAUGCCUGUCGUCAGCUCGUGUCGUGAGAUGUUGGGUUAAGUCCCGCAACGAGCGCAACCCUUGUUCACUGUUGCCAGCACGUUAUGGUGGGGACUCAGUGGAGACCGCCGGGGUCAACUCGGAGGAAGGUGGGGAUGACGUCAAGUCAUCAUGCCCCUUAUGUCCAGGGCUUCACGCAUGCUACAAUGGCUGGUACAGAGAGUGGCGAGCCUGUGAGGGUGAGCGAAUCUCGGAAAGCCGGUCUCAGUUCGGAUUGGGGUCUGCAACUCGACCUCAUGAAGUCGGAGUCGCUAGUAAUCGCAGAUCAGCAACGCUGCGGUGAAUACGUUCCCGGG
rnacentral:rRNA from 1 species